GAGAAAGAAAGACACAGGGAAGCUGUCUUUGUGAGCACAGAGAGAUUUUGGAAUCCCUACAAGGUUGCUAUGAAAGACUGCCGUAAUGAUUUUCCUUAUCGCUUGAACUGAAUGACGGUGUUUAAUGAAACCGACUUGGUGCUCGGUGUGUCUAGGAUCUCCCGGUCAGGGACUGACAGCUUAAGGAGACCUGCUUCCCGUAUGAACUGAAUGCCAUCUUAAGGGUCGCAAGGGGAGGAUUCGUAAAACUUCCUAAAGUGAUCGGCCAUUAUGUCUCUAAUUUGUUUGGUAUCAUGUGUCCAACUAUUUGAUGUUUUUAUUUUCUGUAUGUAAGUGUUAAACUCACAUUUUUAGUUGGCCAUAGUACAAUAAGAAAUCAACGUGCAUGCACAUAGAGAUAAAUUUACUGAUUUACUGUAAUACAGGACAACUUGGUCAUGGUUUUGUGUGCUAGCUUCAAAUAAUGGGAAAGAAUGUGUUCAAAUUACUGUGUACAUUUUAAUACUAAGUCUUGUUUAUGCUUGCUGUCAUAUUCCGAGGCAGGAUUCUUUAUUAUCAUUAUUUUUAUCAUUUAAUAUGUUUCUGUUUUGGCGCCCAUUUAUUUAUCUUUUUUUAACCACCGUCUGGUUGCUAGACUUAGGGGCCGAUUCAUGAAGCUCGA